UGCGUAGGUGGUUUUCCAAGUUUGGUGUGAAAUCUCCCGGCUCAACUGGGAGGGUGCGCCGAAAACUGGAAGGCUAGAGUGUGGGAGAGGAGAGCGGAAUUCCUGGUGUAGCGGUGAAAUGCGUAGAUAUCAGGAGGAACACCUGCGGUGCAGACGGCUCUCUGGACCAUUACUGACACUGAGGCACGAAAGCGUGGGGAGCAAACAGGAUUAGAUACCCUGGUAGUCCACGCCCUAAACGAUGCACACUUGGUGUGGGUCAUUCAUUUGAUCCGUGCCGGAGUUAACGCGUUAAGUGUGCCGCCUGGGGAGUACGGUCGCAAGGCUGAA
rnacentral:rRNA from 1 species